rnacentral:rRNA from 1 species
GACAGAGGGUGCAAGCGUUAUCCGGAAUGAUUGGGCGUAAAGCGUCUGUAGGCGGCUUUUUAAGUCUGCCGUCAAAUCCCAGGGCUUAACCCUGGACAGGCGGUGGAAACUACCAAGCUGGAGUACGGUAGGGGCAGGGGGAAUUUCCGGUGGAGCGGUGAAAUGCGUAGAGAUCGGAAAGAACACCAACGGCGAAAGCACUCUGCUGGGCCGACACUGACACUGAGAGACGAAAGCUAGGGGAGCGAAUAGG